GCCAUUGUGGUAUUCUUCUCUCAUUGUAUGGCAGAGUUGUAUUAUUUUAGACUCUUUUUCACCACUGUUCCUUUAGCUUAUCAUUAUUCAUUAAUGACACAUACUUGGUUUUGCUCUCUCAUUGUUUCUUUUUAUAUUUUAUGGCGCCGAGAACUCAACCAUUUGAAAUGGGUCUUUUCUUUUUGAUUUUUUUUUAAUUUGUUAAUUUUGAUUGUUGAUUUUUCUCAUAAAUUCCCUUUCGUUUCAGAAGCUUUAAACUUUGCGUUGUUUGUUACUGCUAUUUGUGGGUAUGUGAAUAGUGUUUGGUUUAGGGGCAUGGUGGAUAUGAAUGAAGGCAAUGAGGGGUUUAGUGAUGCACGGUGAGAGUGGGUGUUGGGAUGGUGUUGUCCAAAGGGGAUGUCUUAUGGACCAAAUUGUAGCAUGUUCAAAGUUAAGGGUUUUGUUUUGUAAAUUUAUUUUUAAUUUGGAUUUUUUUCUUGAUUUUUUUGUAAUUAAUAAAAUAUUGUAAAAUUAUAAAUAUUUAAAACUAUACAAAUCUAAGGGCCAAAGC
rnacentral:lncRNA from 1 species